AUUUCGAUUGGUCGGUCAGAGAGGUUACCUGGAAAUCCAACACCGCCCAACACCCCUCCCGCUCCCCAGUCCGGGGACUUCGAUAGGAUUGGAGAAGGUUUGUGUUCCCGACGCCUUGGUAGUUGGCAUAGGCUAAAGAAAAGGGAUCUCAGCCCCGAGGAAGGGUCACCCUCCUAGAGAUAGCUACUACCCCGUCUCAGGAGACCCUGGUAUUUCUAGAGCACGCUUUGCUUUCACCAAACCCAAGGAGGUGACAGGAGGAGCCCCCGCACAGGACCUAAGAAUGCUGUGACCAGAAGAUGGGAUCGCGGAACAGCAGCAGUGCAGGAUCCGGGUCCGGAGACCCCUCCGAGGGCUUGCCCCGAAGAGGGGCUGGCCUGCGUCGGAGUGAGGAAGAGGAAGAAGAGGAUGAAGAUGUGGAUCUGGCCCAGGUACUGGCCUAUCUCCUCCGCAGACCAGACAAUCCGACUCUAUGACUGCCGAUAUGGCCGUUUCCGUAAAUUCAAGAGCAUCAAGGCCCGCGACGUAGGCUGGAGCGUCUUGGAUGUGGCCUUCACCCCUGAUGGGAACCACUUCCUCUACUCUAGCUG
rnacentral:misc_RNA from 1 species